CCACUCUGCUGGCCCCCGGCCCCCCCCCCGGAUCUGCUCUGAAGCCAGUUUGGGGCAGCAGAGCUUGGCUUUUGCAGAGUGUCCGGAAGGCAGGCCUGGGGCACAAACGUCCCCCAGAAACAGGGCAGCAGGGAGCUUGCAGCAGAGGACGUGCACGCGGCCCCAGGGAGGGGGGAGAGCACAUCUCAGGGAACAGUCGUGGCAACACAGACCGUUCUUUCUAUAUUAUAUGGGAACAGAGUGCUCCCUGUGUAAGUCUGAAAGGCCUGACCAAGUAGAAUUACGGAAAAUAUAAAUCACAAAAAUUGGAUCAAGACAUAGAGCCCUGCUCAGCCAAGUAUUCACGGAGGAAGCAGCCGAGCCUGGAUGGCCCCCCGGGAGGGCUCUGCGGAGCAGAGGGAAGCGGGGAGUAUCCUGGCCCAGGCUGCUGUGGGGCGCCAGGCCCCGGACAACGAGCUCGCCCACCCGGAUUGUACGUGACCAUACACAGUGUACACCCCAGCACACACACACACACGUCCACAGGCCCUCGGUCACCCCACCCCCGCAUGCCAGGGCUCCUUGCAGUCGAUGUGAAUACCCUGCGCCCGGCCGCUGCGCCCUCCUGCAGCGGGGGACUCGAGGGUGAGCACCUCCACGUGAGAAACAGUGGGGUCCCCCCAGCCUAGCACCGUCCCUUCACAUCGCACAGGAACGCCCUGGGGAAGGCAGUCAGCACACGGGGGCGGGAGGUUCAGCUCACAGAAUCGUGCAGGUUCAGAACAACAUGAACUGAGCUGCAGAUGGUGGGACCGCUGGGGAGGAAUAAGUCAGGGAUGGGAGCGGGAGAGUUUCAAGCACGUCUCGGGGUCAGGAAGUCAGGAAGAUGGAAGGCUUGGAGGUGGGUGUGAGAGCUCCGAACAGAAGAAUUAGGCCUGACUGAUGGACGCUGAUGGGCCACCGUCCCUCUGAAGGAGAGUGUGCGUGGGAAAUAUGGCAGCUUAUGAGCGUAGGUUUAGAAAUGCAAAAAUGCACUCUGAAUAGUUGAUGGAUCCCAGAGGAGAUGGGGAAGACACUUAGGAAGCACCUUAGAGCUCCAUCACAGAACAGAUCCCUGCUGAUUUGGGACCUACAGCGAGAUGUCAAGCCCGCCCACUUCCGUUAGAACAAGGAGGGGAAGAGCCGUGUUUGCAGUAAGUUAAACGGCUUCCCAGGUGGCUCAAAUGGUACGGAACAUGUUCACAAUGCAGGGGACCUGGGUUUGAUCCCUGGGUUGGGAAGAUCCCCUGGAGAAGGGACCGGCAACCCACUCCAGUGUUCUUGCCUGGAGAACUCCAUGAACAGAGGAACCUGGCGGGCCACAGUCCAUGGGGUCGCAGAGUCAGACAUGACUGGGCAACUAACACUGAGAUGUCACCGUCAGGAAGUUAGGAAAGGAACGAGACACAAAACCCGAGGGGAAGAGAAGCCUGGGCGUGAGCAUGGAAGAUAGGAGACAGUCUAAUAGAGGAGAUUAGCGGGGAAAGCCAGCAAAGCAAGACGGGUUCUUCUGAAGGAGACCGAUAGAAGGUCUGCCAUGGAAACCAAGAAGAUCAGGUAGGAGGGGGAGAAGGCCCAAACCCACUGACAUGGAGAGAAAGCACAUGGCAGAGGCGGCAGAGACGAGUCUAUGAUGCCUUUUCUAUGACACGAUAUUUGAAAAUGAGAUAAAAUGGUCAGUUUCCAGGGGAAAUUUAUUUCACUGAAGCUUGAAACUUGAAUAGGCUGAUUUCACAUUAAAAAUGUUGAACCAGUGAUGAAAUCCCCCUCCACCAAAAGCUUUCGAAAGCUACACCACGACCAAGGGAGAGUCCCCUCCAAUGCAAAUGUAAUUUCACACCAGAAAACUGAGCAGUGUAAUGAUUUAUGGCACACAAACACAAGCAGUCCAAAGGCUGGGAAAACAUGGAUGAUACAGCGCCCGGUUCACGGUUUCUUAGUCAACCUAGAAGGCAAUUUCCUUGCCUUGAGGAAGGCGUCUCCCAAAAUCCUACAGCAAAUCAUCCUAAUAGUGAACGCUUGGAAGAUCACCUUGAAGAUCAAGAGUAAGGCAGAAAUGUCAGCUUCCUUAUUUUCUUGCCUACUAAUCCCUGGAAAGAAAUGGGCGUUCAUCAGAAUCAGAUAACUGUCUAUAAAGAAAACCAAGGAAAACUGCUAUUUUAAGCUGUGGAUGUGACUGGUGAUGGAAGUAAAGUCCGAUGCUAUAAAGAGCAAUAUUGCAUAGGAACCUGGAAUGUUGUUAGCUCCAUGAAUCAAGGUAAAUUGGAAGUGGUCAAACAGGAGAUGACAAGAGCGAACAUUGACGUUUUAGGAAUCAGUGAACUAAAAUGGUCUGGGAUGGGUGAAUUUAAUUUAGAUGACCAUUAUAUCUACUACUGUGGGCAAGAAUCCCUUAGAAGAAACAGGGUAGCCCUCAUGGUCAACAAGAGUCCAAAAUGCAGGACUUGGGUGCAGCCCCCAAAAUGACAGCACGAUCUCUGUUCAUUUCCAAAGCAAACCAUUCAAUAUCAGAGUAAUCCAAGUCUAUGCCCCAGCCACCAAUGCUGAAGAAGCUGAACUUGAACCAUUCUAUGAAGACAUAGAAGACCUUCUAGAACUAACACCAAGAAAAGAUGUCCCUUUCAUCAUAGGAAAUCAAAAGAUACCUGGAAUAACAAGCAAGUUUGACCUUGGAGUACAGAAUGAAGCAGGGCAAAGGCUAACAGAGUUUUGUCAACAGAAUGUACUGGUCAUGUCAAACACCCCUUUCCAACAACACAAGAGGAAACUCUACACAUGGACAUCACCAGAUGGUCAACACCAAAAUCACAUUGAUUUUAUUCUUUGCAACCAAAGAUGGAGAAGCUCUACACAAUCAGCAGAAAUGAGACUGGAAGCCGACUGUGGCUCAUUUCAGGUCAUGAACUCCUUACGCAAAAUCCAGACUUAAAUCGAAGAAAGUAGGGAAAACCACUAGGCCAUUCAGGUGUGACCUAAAUCGAAUCCCUUAUGAUUAUAGAACGGAAGAGACAAACAGAUUCAAUUAUCAGAUUAGAUCUGAUAGAGUGCCUGAAGAACUAUGGACGGAGGUUUGUGACAUUACACAGCAGGCAGUGAUCAAAGCCAUCCCCAAGAAAAAGAAAUGCAAAAAGGCAAAACGGUUGUCUGAGGAGGCCUUACAAAUAGUUGAGAAAAGAAGAGAAGUGAAAGGCAAAGGAACUCUGAAUGCGCAGUUCCAAAGUAUAGCAAGGAGAGAUAAGAAAGCCUUCCUAAGUAAUCAUUGCGCAGAAAUAGAGGAAGACAGUACCGUGAGAAAGACUAGAGAGCUCUUCAAGAAAAUGCCAAGAGAUGCCAAGGAAACCCUGCAUGCAGAGACGGGCUCCAUAAAGGACAGAAAUGGUGUGGACCUCACGGAAGCAGACUAAGAAGAGGUGGCGAGAAUGCAGAGAAGUCGUGUACGGGAAAGAUCCUCACGACCCAGAUAACCGCGGUGGUGUGAUCACUCACCUAGAGCCAGACAUCCUGCAGUGUGAAGUCAAGUGGGCCUUAGGAAGCAUCACUAUGAACAAAGCUAGGGGAGGUGAUGGAAUUCCAGCUGAGCAAUUUCACAUCCUAAAAGAUGAUGCUGUGAAAGUGCUGCACUCAAUAUGCCAGCAAAUUUGGAAAACUCAGCAAUGGCCACAAGACUGGAAAAGGUCAGUUUUCUUUCCAAUCCCAAAGAAAGCCAAUGCCAAAGAAUGCUCAGACUACCACAUAACUGCACUCAUCUCACACACUAGCAAAGUAAUGCUUAAAAUUCUCCAAGCCAGGCUUCAACAGUAUGUGAAUCGUGAAUUUCCAGAUGUUCAAGCUGGAUUUAAGGGGGAAAAAAGUCAGAGGAACCGGAAAUCAAAUUGACAACAUCCGUUGGAUCAUAGAAAAAGCAAGAGAGUGCCAGAAAGACAUCUACUUCUGCUUCAUUGACUACACUAAAGCCUUUGACUGUGUGGAUCACAAUGAACUGUGGAAAAUACUCCAAGAGAUGGGAAUACUAGACCACCUCACCUGCCUCCUGAGGUCAAGAAGCAACAGCUAGAACUGGACAUGGAACAACAGACUGGUUCCAAAUAGGAAAAGGAGUGCGUCAAGGCUGUAUAUUGUCACCCUGCUUAUUUAACUUCUAUGCAGAGUACAUCAUGAGAAACGCUGGGCUGGAAGAAGCACAAGCUGGAAUCAAGAUUGCAGGAAGAAAUACCAAUAACCUCAGAUAUGCAGAUGACACCACCCUUAUGGCAGAAAGUGAAGAGGAACCAAAGAGCCUCUUGAUGAAUGUGAAAGAGGAGAGUAAAAAAGCUGGCUCAAAAUUCAACAUUCAGGAAGCGAAGAUCACGGCCUCUGGUCCCAUCACUUCAUCGCAAAUAGAUGGGGAAACAAAGGAAACGGUAACAGACUUUAAUUCUGGGGGCUCCAAAAUCACUGAAUAUGGUGACUGUAGCCAUGAAAUACAAAGACACUUGCUCCUUGGAAGAAAAGUUAUGACAAACCUAGACAGCAUGAUAAAAAGUAGAGUCAUUACUUUGCCGACAAAGGUCCAUAUAGUCAAAGCUACGGUUUUUUCAGUAGUCGUGUAUGGAUGUGCUAUUUGGGCCAUAAAGAAGACUGAGCACUGAAGAAUCAACGCUUUUGAACUGUGGCGUGGGAGGAGACUCUUGACAGUCGCUUGGACCUGAAAGACCAAACUAGUCAAUCCUGAAGGGAAUCAAUCCCUAAUAUUCAUUAGAUGGACUGAUGCUGAAGCUGAAGCUCCAAUACUUUGGCCACCUAAUGUGAAGAACUGACUCAUUGGAAAAGACCCCGAUGCUGGGAAAGACUGAAGGCAGGAGGAGAAGGGGACGACAGAAGAUGGACGGUUGGAUGGCAUCACUGAUUCAACGGACAUGCGUUUGAGCAAGCUCUGGGAGUUGGUGAAGGGCAGGGGAGCCUGGUGUGCUACAGCCCAUGGGGUCGCAAAGAGCUGGACACAAAUGCGUGACUGAGCAACAGCAAGUUUUAGAAUUUAGGGUUAGGAUGUGUGUCAGUGAGCACAGGAGAGAAAAAUUGAAAGUUAUUACCAGGAGGCAAGGUUCCCAGAUGUCAUUUAGAACAGAACUGUGAGAAACACAAUAAGAAUAAAUCUAACAAAAGGCACACGAGAUAGAGGGAUAAUAAAACCCUUGGUUGAAAAGUAUUGCAGAUGGUCAGCACCCCUGGAAAGGUCACCCCUGCUCAACGAGAGGAAGAUGCAGUAUCUUUAAAAUGUUCAUUAUCCCUAAAUUAAUCUGUGAAUUCAGGGCAACUCACCCACAUUCCAAUAUGGAUUCCCAGAUAAACUGACAUUAAUUCUAAAAUUCCUGUGGAAGGAAAUAGGGCCUGGCUAUCAGAAGACUGAGGUGGGCAGAAUCUUUCCUCCCAGCCACCUUCCAUGUAGAGCUGGGUCCUCUAAGCCAGAGGACUGGGUGUUCCUCGAUGGACACAGAAGUGCGGAGCCCCCGACGCAGGGAAACCUGAUUGAGGGGCAGGUGUGGUAGCAGAAGGAACAGGGACGGGGUGGGCUGUGUGAGCUGAAGGAGGAAGCCGCAACAGGCGAUCUGUGAGUUUCAGUUUAUGCGGGGUUUACUAAGGACUGCAAGGAGAUCCAGCCAGUCCAUUCUGAAGGAGAUCAGCCCUGGGGUUUCUUUGGAGGGAAUGAUGCUAUAGCUGAAACUCCAGUACUUUGGC
ensembl:lncRNA